rnacentral:rRNA from 1 species
UGGGGAAUUUUGGACAAUGGGCGAAAGCCUGAUCCAGCAAUGCCGCGUGUGUGAAGAAGGCCUUCGGGUUGUAAAGCACUUUUGUCCGGAAAGAAAUCCUUGGCUCUAAUACAGUCGGGGGAUGACGGUACCGGAAGAAUAAGCACCGGCUAACUACGUGCCAGCAGCCGCGGUAAUACGUAGGGUGCAAGCGUUAAUCGGAAUUACUGGGCGUAAAGCGUGCGCAGGCGGUUUGCUAAGACCGAUGUGAAAUCCCCGGGCUCAACCUGGGAACUGCAUUGGUGACUGGCAGGCUAGAGUAUGGCAGAGGGGGGUAGAAUUCCACGUGUAGCAGUGAAAUGCGUAGAGAUGUGGAGGAAUACCGAUGGCGAAGGCAGCCCCCUGGGCCAAUACUGACGCUCAUGCACGAAAGCGUGGGGAGCAAACAGGAUUAGAUACCCUGGUAGUCCACGCCCUAAACGAUGUCAACUAGUUGUGGGGAUUCAUUUCCUUAGUAACGUAGCUAACGCGUGAAGUUGACCGCCUGGGGAGUACGGUCGCAAGAUU